rnacentral:rRNA from 1 species
GACGAACCGUGCGAACGUUGUUCGGAAUCACUGGGCUUAAAGGGCGCGUAGGCGGGCUGCUAAGUCAGGGGUGAAAGCCCACGGCUCAACCGUGGAAGUGCCUUUGAUACUGGCGGCCUGGAGGGAGGUAGGGGCGUGUGGAACUUCCGGUGGAGCGGUGAAAUGCGUAGAUAUCGGAAGGAACACCGGUGGCGAAAGCGGCGCGCUGGACCUCUUCUGACGCUGAGGCGCGAAAGCCAGGGGAGCAAACGGG